UAGAUGUAUGCUCAUGCUCGCUGUCGACGCAGGGGAACCCGGUUCGAAUCCGGGGCUGCCCCGCAACGGUGAGCGGCUGGCACGGCCUGCAACAGACGGCCUGCCGCGAGUCCGAGGACCUGCCGACAGCGCGCCCCGGCC
rnacentral:ncRNA from 1 species